rnacentral:tRNA from 1 species
GGAUCGAUAGCUCAGUGGUAGAGCGGGAGAUUGCAGAUCUUCAGGCCGCGUGUUCAAUCCACGCUCGGUCCU